rnacentral:misc_RNA from 1 species
UGCCUGCCCAGACUGUUUAAAGCCUCGUUGUACACAAAAGAUUGCAGGCAGGCAAGUCUGUACAAACAACUUCUGAUCACGGUAGCUGUUGGGGGGAGUUGGGGGAGGACACACCUCGUCUGCGACCGAACUCCUGUCCUCUACCUACAGAAAAUAAGUCCAAGGUCCUGUACAUCAUCAAACUCCGGGCUUCACUGGACACUGUCGGACCGUGUGAAGUCAGCUUAAAAAGCUCCAACCCGGACACUCAUCGUUGACGAGGAGCUAUAUUUAGACCGAGCGGGAAUCCCCGAUAACCAACACCGUCGUCGUCUGCGGCGGACAGGACGGACAGGGGAGGACACAGUUCUCAAAUAUUGUCUCGGAUUGGCCGGAGUAUGUGGGUUUUUUUCUUCUUUUUUUUUUUCGAGAAUUUGAAAGAAAGUUUCCUUUCGCCAGACGAGAAAACAAUAGUCGGAAGGUGAGAGCUGGUCCCGGGACAAUGAGCGGACGAGGAAGCUGUCGGACAGCCCCGUCGCUGGGUCACAUGACACAAUGGCGGUGUUGGGACGAAGGGAAGUGUUGUGGUAGCUCACAAGGAUCUUGAGAGAGAGAGAGGGUGGUGAGGGGAAGUGGGGGACCCCUAGGGCGGGGAUCCGGCUCCAUCCAAACGGAACUUCAGCUUCGGGAAACCACGAACCGCUGUUGAUGGCGCUGGAGCUGCAGACAGCUUCUGACAAGGUACAAAGGCGUGAAAGGAAGUCCCCAUCUUCCAUCUCUGGAUGAAUGUGACAACCUGACCAUAUCUGAGCAACUAGCUCUGUGACUGUGUGAACAGUGAGGCCACGUGACCAGGAGACCAUGUCCUGGAGCAGUUCCAGCACCUGGAGUCCCAGUGUCCCAGUGGUCGCUGACCAGUGGAUGCGGUCCGCCGGAGUCGUGUACGUCAACACGGCCGUUGGCUUUCAACCGCAACCCUUCGGCAUCAUGGCGCCCAGCUUCUGUCUGUGUGCACCUGUCGCCCUGCAGGAUGUUGCACCUUGCUCCUUGCAGGUGCCGUGGAAGGGAGACAACCAGUUGUAUAAAGUCCAGGCUCGGGGACACUGCGGACAGAGUCUUCAGUCAGGGAUGGUGGUUCAAAGCCCAGCAACGCAGAUGGCGCCAAAUGCUGCAUACACCCCUGUACCAGCUUUUCUGGAGAGAAAGCCAUUCGGUCUAGAAGAUUUUCAUGUGGUCCAAAAUGGCCAACUGCCUCAACAGACUGACCUCCCCGCUCGUUCUCCGCAUUACACAUUUCCAUACGGUCAGGAACAGACGAGGUAUCCAGAGGUGCCAGAGCAGACAAGCCUUUCAUACGACCAAGAACAGUCAAGAUGCUCUUAUGAUAAACAGCAGAGUAGCUUUUCCCGCCAACAGAUGCCUACCCACGUGUUUCAGCAGUCGAGUGAUGGGUUCUCCAACCUCAGAACGAACACUCCCAAAGAUCAGACACAGCCGAGCAGGACGCCUUCAGGCAAAAACAAAAGCCAGUCAGGCAAGGAACUGAACUCUAACUGCCAUGUCGCCCAGACAACUAACAAGAAGAGCAACAAACACAAGAAGCAGAAAAACAAAAGUCCAGUGGUAUCUGACCAGGAAACGCUGCAGGUGUAUAAACAGCAUUACGAGAGACAGAUGCAAGAUUUCAUUAGUUCCACCUUCCCUGACCUGCUGACGUCGGUGGUGACAGUGCCGCCAUUACACUUCAACAAAACCCGUUACAAACGGCUGGACAGACACAGCACGAGCAUUAACGAGGUAGUACAACAACUGGAGACGCAAAUGUCCGACGUUUCGGGGGACAAGACUGAUGACAUCGUCAUCCAGUGCAUCGUGCGAGUGGUCAAAGCCAAGCAGGAGCCAGCGAUCGUCCUGACCAACUACGUCUUCGACAACUACCUGUGCAAGACGGUCAAAGAGGUGGAAAGACGAGCUCAACAAGGCCUUCAGCCAGCUGUGUCCCUGCAAGAAGCUCCCUACCGAGACAGUGAUCCAAAGGAGGGUCUGGAAGAGGUCGCCCAGCAUGGUGAUGCCAUCCCGAGCGGGGCUCGAAAGAGAGGCUCCUGCUCGUCAACCCACACCAAAAUAACUGGGAGGCAGCAAGUGUCGAGGUUAGCCAAGAACUGCAUAAACCCAAAGGAAGUCUUCCCGACUCCCAGCGACCUCACCGUAGACUUGAGACGAGGAGAUUUUGACAUUCUGGUCAUCAGCCGGAAGUACGGCUUCGUCAUCAUCGAAACAAAGUCCAUGGACAGCACUGCCGAGCUCGGCGCCUCCAGCUGCUCACAGAGUCAAGGACGAGACCCUCUCAGUCACAAAGUUCCGAAGGGGAAGAGGAAGACGAGGAAAAGGAAGAAAUGUCUGAUCAGGGAAAGGCAAGGGCGGCAACUCGGAAGAAUAACGAGGACAAAGAAGAGAACCCUAAGGUUGAAGUAAACACGACCUUAUCCUUGGAUCGCAGGAAGGAGCUUGACAUGCUCAGGAACAAGAUCUCCAAGGCGCUGCAGCAACUCAAGAAGGAGGAAGAAGUGUUGCGACACCUGGUGUCUGACUUUCCGGAAGCUGACAGUAUCCCCAUCAAAAAAGUUCUGGCAUUCCCCAAGACGAGGAAGGCGCUUCUUCGCAGUAUUCUGGAAGAUUGUAACUUAACAACCGAAGUCUGUGAGAGUCUGGCCGCCCCCUCCCUGGAGCACGCCCUCUCCUCCUGCCUGUGCGCAGAGGACGCGAGGAAGAUUGAGGAGGCUGUCAAGAUGGCCCCCUGGGAAUCAGGGGACACAGCUUUAACUGACGAGUCUUUACUUCGUUGGUGGUCCAACGUCAUCGACGACAACGACGAGACUGAAAGAAGCUGCUGCUUGGCGACGCCGAGCGCCAGGUCACGUGACGCCAUUUCACAAGAAACUUACGAGGGCUUGUUUGCGAGGUUUUGCGGCCCCUAUUCUAAGGUUUCCAUCGAGUGUCGAAAGAGCACUCGAGACGAAGCCAGGACAGUGGCCGACUGCAUCCACCUGACAGGUAUACGCUUCGGUCGCAGCAUCCUGCGGGACAACCAGGUGCAAAUUCUGGACAGCGAGGAUCGCUUUGUAUGC